rnacentral:rRNA from 1 species
UACGUAGGGUGCAAGCGUUGUCCGGAAUUAUUGGGCGUAAAGAGCUCGUAGGCGGUCUGUCGCGUCUGCUGUGAAAACCCGGGGCUCAACUCCGGGACUGCAUUUGAAACUAUCAGACUAGAGUUCGGUAGGGGAGACUGGAAUUCCUGGUGUAGCGGUGAAAUGCGCAGAUAUCAGGAGGAACACCGGUGGCGAAGGCGGUCUCUGGGCCUUACCUGACGCUGAGGAGCGAAAGCGUGGGGAGCAAACAGG